rnacentral:rRNA from 1 species
AUACGUAGGUGGCGAGCGUUGUUCGGAUUUAUUGGGCGUAAAGGGUCCGCAGGGGGUUUAUUAAGUCUGAUGUGAAAUCCCGAGGCUCAACCUCGGAACUGCAUUGGAUACUGGUAAACUAGAGUAUCGGAGAGGAAAGUGGAAUUCCAGGUGUAGCGGUGGAAUGCGUAGAUAUCUGGAAGAACACCAAGAGCGAAGGCAGCUUUCUGGACGAUUACUGACCCUCAGGGACGAAAGCGUGGGGAGCAAACAGGAUUAGAAACCCCAGUAGUCC